rnacentral:tRNA from 1 species
GUUUUAAUAGUUUAAAUAAAACAUUGGUCUUGUAAAUCAAAAAUAAGUUUAUUACUUUUAAAAUA